CAGAAUGGAGCUCCCUGCCUGCUUCACCGCCUGGGACAUUUCAUUGUCUGGAAUAGGCCCAGCUCCUCGUAGGGCUUCAUUGAAUAUUGGCUGAGAAGCACAGGACAGGCUCCUGCCCAUAAUCCCCGGCCCCCUCCCCGCGCCUCCUGACCAAGCCUGCUGCACCCUGUGUGGCCCUGUGUGGUAUGCUAUGCCCUUCCUCUUGCGAACUCAAGAAGGGAAAUUUAGUAGGAGAACUCAGGGAACCCGGGAUAAACAAUGGAGGAGCCCAAGUAUCGAGUAGCUGGACUUCCCAGAAGACUGGCACGGCAGCUGGCGAGCCACCAGGACCAAGUUGCUGCAUUUCUCCUGCCACCCUGAGGCCACACCCUCUCUCCUCUGCAGCUCUCUGCAUGUCACUAAGUCCUGGCGGUGAAUCCAUGGGCUCUUCUCCGCUUCUACUGCUCUGGUCCUAGUUUCAAGUUGUGUCCUGUUGUCACCUGGAAAACUGAAACAGCCUCCUAAUUUUUUUCCCCAAAUCCACUCACUCCUGCCCAUUUGCAAUAUAGUGUCCUCACUACUGCCAGAGUGAAUUCUAGGUGGAAAAUGCAGUCCACGGUUUUGGUGCUCCUAGGGGAUGCACAUCAAACCUUGACCACGGCAUGGAGCGGGAUUAUCACUGACCCCUCAGUGCCUUUGGCCUUAGUGCCCUCUGUGUUGGGGGUCCUGCCUCUCUGCUCCUUGUCACUGUCAGGCAUGAGAAAGGGUUGGCUGAUGACGAGUGAAAUAUCAUCAGACACGUGGGCCCAUGCUGUGAGCGCCGGCGCCGUGAGAACCACUUCUGUGUUCCUGCCGCUGCGAUGAAGGCAACGCUCCAGAUGGAGCCGGCUCGGGUAGCCUGAGUGCGGAGCGGAGAGGACGGGAGCAGAGCCAGGGCGGCACGUGACGUGGGAGAGGAACACCCCGCUGUGCCCUGCCGAGUGGGGUCGUGUGUUACUCAGCGUCACCCAGCCUGCCCCGACCCGUGCACAGGGUCUGUCAGUUCCUGUUUAUUGCCCCAUCUCUGCGGGGCACCCUGUGGCCUUCCAGUGGUUCCGUGACACGCUCCCCCCACCUUACUCUGUCAGCGGAAAGUUCUGCACACCCGUUUGCCCAGUUCACGUUUCUGCACCAGUGAGCUCUUGGCGCAAGCGUGAAGUUCUCGGGAAAGGAUUGGCUGCCUGUGUUCAAGGCACCCGACAGUGACUCUCUAUCAUUAUGUGUCUGUCACUAAACUACAACGUCCAUGAAGACCGACACCACAGAUUUUGCUCAGGCUGCUUCGAGGCCCUGCUGCGUCCCCGCUUGGUGCCAGGUCCCUGCUGAGGGCUGGGGCGAGUCAGCAGGGGCCCUGAUCCGGCACCCCCACCCCAUAGUGGGGGACACAGACACGCAGGAGGCAGGGCAGGACGCCACCAAGUGUUCUAGCAGGUACUGAGGAUAAGUGAGGCCAGGCAGAGGGAAGGCAAGGGAGACUGCCCGGAGGAGGAGGUGUCUGAGCGGGUGUGACGCAGGAGGUGGAGUCGUACAGGGGGAGCAUGCUGGGCGGGGCGGGGUGGGGGUUGUAGAGCGAGGAGACAGGCCUGAGAGAGGACGAGCCCGGAGCAGCCAGACCCGAGGGCGCUUCUGGCGUCUUUAUUCCUGACAAUCCGAGUGUUUUUGUUUCAGCAACUUCGCAAGUGCAAAGCAGCACGUGGUGCUUGCACACCCUGUGAGAACCAGAACUCUGUGUCGUCAGCUUCUAGAGGACGGGUCGUUCCUUCCCCCGGGGAGGAGGGCAGCUGGGGCAGGUGCAGGGAGGAUCCUUAGCUGGGCUGUGAGGGGACGGAAGUGGGCUCACCAGGCAGGGGCGCAGCGGAAAAGGCAGGAGGCCCGACUGCCAAGGGAGUGGGCAGAAUACAGUCCAUUCUGUCUGCCCGGAACAAGGGGCUUCCUGGGGGCAGGUGGCAGCAGAGCACAUGGGCACAAUGGGCGAUGCUCCGUGGUGCUCCAGACUAGAGCGGGGUGAGGAGCCCCUGCCUCUGUGCCAGGCGAGCCGUGUUCGGGUGCAGGAAGCACAGCAGCACAGGGGCUGCCCAGAGCCUGCCCGCCCAGGACACUGGAGGCUGCCGGGUGGGCGCUGGGAAGCUGAUGCCCCACGCUGCCGGGCAUCAGGGCGUCUGGCCCAGGACGGCUCCAAAGCCAGUGGCUCCUCCCUGGGGCACCUAGGUGUCCAGGCCCGAACCAGAUGGCCCCUCUGGGUCAGCAAGCAGGUGUCAUGUAGUGUCCCAUGUCUGAUCUACCAACUCUGGCAGCCUGCAGUGGAGGCUUAGCAGAGUCCAAAGCCGGCUGUGUGCUCGGCGAGGGAGUGCCGUGAGCAUCCGCCAGGCCUGCAGUGGCCACCAAGGGGGGCCCUAUGGUGUCAGGGCCAGCCAUUUGUCACCCCAGCAGAGAUCUCCCCUCAGGUGGUGUGCAGAGGAGCCGAGGCCCAGAGGGAGGGAAACCCCCUCCAGUCCAGGUCCCCGUCCCUGCCCUGGCCACCAGAGCCCUCCGGGUUCCUGUUGUGACCCAGAUGAGAACAGUGCUGCACGCGACGGGGAUGCACAUAUCCCACGUCUGUGUAGACCCGCACUGUUUUCCUCCUCUUGUUUUCUGUGUCUUCGGAUAUUUAAUGUGCUCUGUGUGUUGUAUUAAUAAAUGUGCAUUUUAAAGGAUGGUGAGAUGACCACCCGUGACCCUGAGGUCUGGCUCCAGAACUGAACUCCCAGGCACGUGCGUCCGUGUGUUUGCAGCUGGUCCCGCCCCAGAGGCCCCGCGCUCUGGAUUUUGUGUGCAUCGUUCGCCUGUGCACAGCAACCCCGCUCUGAGAUCUUCCUGGGCGUGCCUCGUGCGUGGGCUGAGUGGACUUGCAGGGCAGAAGAGGUGGGGCCUUGCUGCGUGUUGCCAGGCUGGAGUGCGUGGCCACUCACCGGGCAGCCACCGCGCACUGCGGACUCGAACUCCCGGACUCCACGGCCCCUGCUCCACCUCAGACUCCCAAGUAGCUGGGACUACAGAUGCAUGUCACCGGGUCAGGCUUCACCUGUGGUGCAGCUGUGCUACACUGGUAUAUUGCAUCGUGUGAUGUCGGGGCCUUCGGUGCACUUCUGGAGCACCGCACGGUGUGCCCACCAGGCAGCCUCCAUCAUUCACGCCUUCCCCACCAGCCCCGCUUCGGGUUUUCUUUCCGGUUCUGCUGCCUCUAACUGUGUCUGACUGCAUCGCCUCAAACUGUCAACACAGCUUUAACGAGAAGUAAAGAUUAUGGUCUUCAUGCCUUUUCCUUGAUUUGCAUGGAAUGUAUUCUGUUUCACUAUGAAAUUAACUGCUAUCUUUUGGACUUUAUUAUGUUAAAACGUAUCCAUUUAUUAAGUGUCUUAUGUUUGAGGAACGGGUU